AUGCUCAUGGUGUAGUGGUUAUCACAUCCACUUAACACGCAGAAGGUCCCAGGUUCGAAACCUGGUGGGUACA
rnacentral:tRNA from 1 species